GCUAACUCCGUGCCAGCAGCCGCGGUAAUACGGAGGGUGCAAGCGUUGUUCGGAAUUAUUGGGCGUAAAGCGCGUGUAGGCGGUCUUUUAAGUCUGAUGUGAAAGCCCCGGGCUCAACCUGGGAAGUGCAUUGGAAACUGGGAGACUUGAGUACGGGAGAGGGUAGUGGAAUUCCUAGUGUAGGAGUGAAAUCCGUAGAUAUUAGGAGGAACACCGGUGGCGAAGGCGGCUGCCUGGACCGAUACUGACGCUGAGACGCGAAAGCGUGGGGAGCAAACAGGAUUAGAUACCCUAGUAGUC
rnacentral:rRNA from 1 species